UUAAGGUACCACCAGUGUCGGUGGUGCAGGCCAAAGGUGUGGACGCAGUCUGUAUCUUGGUGCUGUAAACCACAGUUGGGGAAUCAAUGGAACCUUUCCAGCAGAAGGCAAGUACCCACCUGACGUUACUCGUACCCAAGCAUCUGGUAAUACCCCAGCAACACUGACCAUCCCAGCCACAGCACAUUACAACAAUACUGUGGUGCUGUGUAGAGUUGAAGGAGGGCUCAGGCUGACCGAGAAUGCUACCUUGACGAUAUUUGCAAUUUCUGCUAAAACAAGUAUAUAAUGAUACGGAUACUAUCAUUUUGUCAUGGGCUUACGUUUACUACCAACCUCACGUACUGUGUGAACUUCAACAAAAUGACAAUUGUCUGCAAUAAGACACUUCCUCCAGUGUGUGGACUUACAGAGACGCAGUACACUUUACAUAUCCCAACCACAAUCGGUAUGACAAUUUUUUUCACGGUGACUCCUGUUGAUGGAGGGAAUCAGAUGAAAGGAACAGCUAUAGUGAACCAGUUGCUGGAUCAUUUACAUCAGCUAGAGGUGUAAGAACAGUUGUCAGCCAAGAAGAAGACUCAGAUAAAAAAUGUGUGAUGUUUGAAGCAAUGGUCCCUGAAUGUACACUGUUUACUUUGUAUCGAGUGGAAUUUGGAUCACUACUAGUAGGAUUCUAAGAGUGGUGCUCUUAACGCAUCUGGAAAUGUUUCAAUCACCUUCUCACUUCCUACUGACAUUCUAACAAAUAUCUCUGUGCUGUGCUGCUAAUGGAAUUGACCUGAUGUUUGAAAGUUUAUUAAGUACUAGUGAUAUUCAAAGACUUCUACCUGAGACUGAUUGUUCCGAAAGCAUCAGUGUUUGUGGUCGUAUUGAAUAUGCUGUGGAUUCUUUUUCUAUUGGGGCUCUAAUGUAUUUAGUUCCCAUCACAAGUUAUCAUGCACAAGUGAGUCCAACAGCAUUAUGUUGGCUGUGCCAAGGAGUACGGGUGAUAGUUUCAGUAUCAGUCACAUACCUCCUGGAAGAUACAGUCUCCUUGCUUUUGACCUGGAGAACAACCGUCUGCCAAGAAUGCCACUCUCUCUAGCAUCUACAAGUGAAAUACUGGAAGUGAGUACGUCACGAGGAACUGCUGCUCCCCUGCCCAAUAGUGUAGGAAUCACUGCCGUUAAGUUAAUCAAUGGAGAUGUUGAAGUGUACUGCUCUAUAUACCUGUAACGAACUGCUUGGUGUUGGUUCGUUCAAUCAACUCUCCAGAACAAUUAUAUGUCCGGCUCAUCAACUCUACUGAUGAAAGAAGAACUGUCUUCUCUGUUGAUCUCAUUGGUAUAAUGCCACAGCCUUUGUAGUAGUGCUCACUUGGGAGAAAAUGACUUUAUAUUUGACAGUCAAUUAUCCCUCAUCACCCAACUAGAAACAUAUCCUAACUGGAAACAUCGGUUAGGUUGUUUCAGUCAGAUUAUUUGUUACGAUGUAGGAGUAGUAUUAUAGUUGUUGACAAUGCCUUGAUAAGAUUGUUAAUUAGCCUAGUUUAUUCAAAACAAUUAUUCAUCUUAAAAUAUUCCCACCUGCAGCUGUCUCAACCAUGCCAAUCAUUUCGGCUCCUCAGACACUACCCACUGCAGUAGUAGCAGGUCAGUCAAAACCAACCAUCAACUACGGCUCUAAAUGGCCAAUAAUUGGUACUAACUGCAUGGGUCUACUAGCUGUCUUGCAUGUACAUGCACUUCUAUGUAUGAAAAAGGAUUUUUGCUUUCUUGUUGCAUGCACUGUGAUUACUACACUGGUGGUGGUGUCCAUUU